rnacentral:rRNA from 1 species
CUACGCACUCCUACGGGAGGCAGCAGUGGGGAAUAUUGCACAAUGGGCGCAAGCCUGAUGCAGCCAUGCCGCGUGUAUGAAGAAGGCCUUCGGGUUGUAAAGUACUUUCAGCAGUGAGGAAGGUGGGUAUGUUAAUAGCAUACUCAUUUGACGUUAGCUGCAGAAGAAGCACCGGCUAACUCCGUGCCAGCAGCCGCGGUAAUACGGAGGGUGCGAGCGUUAAUCGGAAUUACUGGGCGUAAAGCGCAUGCAGGUGGUUUGUUAAGUCAGAUGUGAAAGCCCGGGGCUCAACCUCGGAAUUGCAUUUGAAACUGGCAAACUAGAGUACUGUAGAGGGGGUAGAAUUUCAGGUGUAGCGGUGAAAUGCGUAGAGAUCUGAAGGAAUACCGGUGGCGAAGGCGGCCCCCUGGACAGAUACUGACACUCAGAUGCGAAAGCGUGGGGAGCAAACAGGAUUAGAUACCCUGGAG